rnacentral:siRNA from 1 species
UGACAUCAUAACAGAUAGAGC